UUGUGAUGCUUGCAAUACUGUUUUUUCAAUUAUACAGUAUUUUUUUUUGAUUUGUGGUGACGGGUGUCCAUUGUCUGCCGUCUUUCCACAACAGUCAUGCAUCGGUAAGUAUCUUUUAAAAACAUUCGUCUACGGUUUGUAAAUUUUUAUUUAUUUGUUGAUUUUUCGAAUUCAGGAUAUUAUUACAAGAAAAUUGUAAUUUACAGAAAUAAUUUACAGAAAAUAUUACAUAUUUUUUGGAAAUAUAAAUAUCUUGGUAAAAAAUGUAUACUUAAUAAUAUAAUGUCUGGUGUAUUUAUUAAUUUGUUUUCCUUUUUGUUUUUAGAGAAAAUAUGUUUAUCAGUUUAAUUGCUGAUGUCGCCGGCGAGGCCAUCUGGUAUGGCCUCAGCAGAGGCGCAACUAGACUUUUGGAGGCCUUAAAGUCAAAUAUAAAAUGGGGCCCCCUAGCAAAAAAUGUAAAUGGUCUUAAACAAUUAAGGGUACACGGUAUACCGCUUCUUCCCCACCCAUAAGGUUGGCUCCGAAAAUGCAUGACCAAUUUGGCUGAUUCUUUUUAUGAUGUGUUCGCAAUUAAUAAAGGUUAAUAUGAAAAUUUAA